AUGACCCUAUGUAUAGAGAAGAGAGAAUAAAUCUCAUCCCUAGAUUUUAAAAAAUCGUGCGGUUGAUAUAUAAUCUGCAGAAAAUUAGGAAUUUGCAAUUAAUCUGUUCGAAUUUAUUUUGUAAAUGGAAUUAGGGUAGUUGGGUAAAAUCCAAUAGAGUAAAUAAGGUAGUUCCGUAUUUUACUCCUAUCUACCGCGUCCAUUAGAAGAUUUGAACAGUCACCACCAUUCCACUUCAUCUCCCACGAUUCUCACGGCAGCUAAGGUUUCUCUGUAGCAGAUUUCGACGCCGCCAGCCGGCGAUGUACCCCUCAAGGCCUGCAGGAAGAGGUGCAAGAAUAGGGCCUACGCGCUUGGAUGUGGCGUCUCGCCGCGGAGCAACCAGAGAUCAAGACGGAGGCUAGAUUAUGACGAGAGGGAGAUUGCUGCAGGAGACGAAAUAUUGGCCAAGUCGAUGUACCGAAUCCUCCUCCAAUGGCAGCAACAAUCAGCCUCCGCAAAGGGGACACCCUAAAUUGCAAGCCUGCUAUUGGAAGUGAAGGUGCUGGAAACAACUAGGAGUAGUUAUAAGAAUAAUUUGUUCAUUGAAACAAUAUGUGUUGUUCAUUUAAAAUUUAUGAUAUGUUUAUUUACAAAGUAUGUUCUGUUCAUUUAGAAAUUGUAAUCUGUUCAUUUACAAAUUGUGAUUCUCCGUUACCACACGUUCGAAAUAUUUAUCUGAGUGUUCAAUUUAUUCUCUA